AGUAAUGUAUGGGGAUCUGCCCUAUAGAGGGGGAUAACUACUGGAAACGGUGGCUAAUACCGCAUAAUGUCUACGGACCAAAGCAGGGGCUCUUCGGACCUUGCACUAUCGGAUGAACCCAUAUGGGAUUAGCUAGUAGGUGGGGUAAAGGCUCACCUAGGCGACGAUCUCUAGCUGGUCUGAGGGGAUGAUCAGCCACACUGGGACUGAGACACGGCCCAG
rnacentral:rRNA from 1 species